GCCAUAGACAUGGCCAGAGACAGUUCUAGUACUGAGAGAAUGAAGUGCAGACUGCCAUGUAACAGCUUGACAUAAGUGAAGUGAUAUGGACAGAUCAGUACAAAAUGUAGCGAGUAAAAUGAACCAGAGGCAGUCUCAUGACAGCAGUAGAUAAACAGAGUGACAAAGGCAAAUUCUUUGUCAUAACAGAACAUAAAGAGAUUAACAAAUAACGAGUAAGGCAAACAGCACAAAAAGAACAGCAGUGAGACUUAACUGCUCUCAUGUUGGAAACAGGUGGUCAGAGAGGAGAGAGCUAAAUUAUGGUGACAAAUGAAGAGACAUGGCAGCAGAAGAUGGGGAGAGACCCAGACAAACAGAGCCUGGCAAAAAAAACAGCACAAUACAAAAUGGACAGACUCAAAUGGAUAACAGUAGUUUUGCUUGACACGCCUGUGUAUUUCGUGAUCCAUCCAGUUGCAACAGGCGUGGGUGCUGUAUUUGUACAGUAAGUGUUAAAUGCAUGUGAAUACUGCACGCUACAAUUGGGUAAAAUCAACCUUAGUUGAUGAAAACUAAAAACUGAAAAAUAGGCUGAAUUGCUAUAACAAUAAUAACAACAUUCUAUUGUGCUUAUCUUUUAUUAAUAACAAUAUAUAAAUAUUUAUAAAAAAACCCACAUAUUCAGCAUAUACAAUAGAAUUUAUACAGGAAGCUUCGUUUGGAGGAACAGGUAAAAUUUCAGCACACGAUCAGCUUAGGAAAUACAACCCCCAACAUUCCCCUUGGGAGCUAAACUGGCAGAAGUAAUUUGCCAAAUCCUAAAGGUCACAGGUUGUCUGUGCUGUUUAUGUUGCUUAAAUGACAUUGAGAUUGUCACUGUUUUGCCAUAAAAUAUUAGAAAACUCACACACCCACAUCUAAAUAGAUUAUUUUCCAUUUAAUAGAAACUGAAAUGAUGACAUUGCCCAGUGAUGACAGUACCCACAUUAGCACACAUGUACAAGCAAAGGUCCUAUUUGAUUAUUGGAGAGACUACCACACCUUUCUGCUAAAUAUAUUAUUUAUGUUCUUUAUUAUACAGAUGCAGAAUCCCUCAGUGUUUUAGAUUUGCCCAGACUAAAAAUGGAUGAGUGUAUGUGAGUGUAAAUCUGAGUGAUUAUAGGACCCUGUUCCUGCUGGUUUUAUCACUGCAAUGCUGUGCAAGAGAUGCUUGGGGGGCUGAGCUGCCGCUCCGCUCUCCUGCUCUCUGGCUGGCAGGUAUAUGGGAUGAAGGAGAAAAGCUGACCGUAGAUUCCUAAUUAUUCUGGAAGGGUCUCAUGCAAUCACAUUGGAGAAUGGGUAGCUUUGUGCAUCUAAUGACCACAAAUGAGCAGCCAGUAUGACACAAAUGAUCUUCUGUACAGUACUACAAGAAACUGUGUCAUACACUGCCUCCCUGGAUACAGAUUGGGAGUGCCUUUACCGACUGUAUGGAUGCUCGGGCAUCUAGAGGAGUGUCCUGUAUGCAGAAGAAGAUGUAAGGAAUGACAGAAAGGAAUAAUGAUUUCAGUUUUCUGAAUGGCGUUUUGCAGAAUACAAGCAGAAAGAAUGUUCUGCUAUCUACAGUAACAUAGUGUUGGUGGGAAUGUUCUACACAACAGAAAAAUGUUCUGUAGGAUAUUAUAAUACACUUCAAAAAAGAAUAACACCCUUUAGGAAAGAAUACCUAAAGGGGCAAUACCCUGACUGGGCAAUACUGUCUCUGAUAUAAGAGUGAUGCUUUGUGGGCCAGACAAACCCCUUGCUGCAGACCAUCGCAGAAGGCAUAGCUGUUUGUGACAAACAUUUGUCCGAAAUGUGACCUUUUUCUGGUACAAUAUCCCCUUUCUCUCCCCUUCAUCCCUUUGACCUCUAGUCCAUCCAUAUAUUCUGUCUAUUUUGAAGCAACCCUUGUCCUACUAUAUUAUCAUUUUUCUUGUCUCUCCCCUUUCCCUCUUUUGGUAAAUUUGCUCCUUUACAUUG